CAUGUAUAAGAGGUCCAGCUGCCAGUGACUAUAUGUUCAACGGCCGCGGUAUUCUGACCGUGCAAAGGUAGCGUAAUCACUUGUCUUUUAAAUAAAGACUGGUAUGAACGGCACCACGAAGGUUCAACUGUCUCCUGCAUCCAAUCCAUUAAACUGACUCUCCCGUGCGACAGAGSGCGGGGAUAUAACCAUAAGACGAGAAGACCCUAUGGAGCUUUAAACUAAAGGCAACUGGCAAACAUUCAACCCACAAGGGAUUAACAAUAAAACAAGCAGAAAUUGACCUAAAGUUUUCGGUUGGGGCGACCAUGGAGAAUAAAAAAUCCUCCUUGAAGAAUAGGGCUUACAAACCUUAACCAAGAACCACUAUUCUAAGUAACAAAAUUUAUGACUGCAAUUGAUCCAGUCCUACUGAUCAACGAACCAAGUUACCCUAGGGAUAACAGCGCAAUCCAUUUCAAAAGUUCCUAUCGCUGGGUUUACGACCUCG
rnacentral:rRNA from 1 species